AGGUUACUGCUAUCGAGGUUCGACUAAGCCAUGCGAGUCGAAUGUAGCAAUACAUGGCGUACUGCUCAGUAACACGUGGACAACCUACCCUUAGGACGGGGAUAAACCCGGGAAACUGGGUAUAAUACCCGAUAGUCCUCGAAUGCUGGAAUGCAUCGCGGACUAAAGCUCCGGCGCCUAAGGAUGGGUCUGCGGCCUAUCAGGUAGUAGUGGGUGUAGCGUACCUACUAGCCAACGACGGGUACGGGUUGUGAGAGCAAGAGCCCGGAGAUGGAUUCUGAGACACGAAUCCAGGCCCUACGGGGUGCAGCAGGCGCGAAAACUUUACAAUGCUGGAAAUAGCGAUAAGGGGACCUCGAGUGCCAGGUUACAAAUCUGGCUGUCGUGAUGCCUAAAAAGCAUUGCAUAGCAAGGGCCGGGCAAGACCGGUGCCAGCCGCCGCGGUAACACCGGCGGCUCGAGUGGUAACCGUUAUUAUUGGGUCUAAAGGGUCUGUAGCCGGCCGGAUAAGUCUCUUGGGAAAUCUGGCAGCUUAACUGUCAGGCUUUCAGGAGAUACUGUCUGGCUCGAGGCCGGGAGAGGUGAGAGGUACUUCAGGGGUAGGGGUGAAAUCUUGUAAUCCUUGAAGGACCACCAGUGGCGAAGGCGUCUCACCAGAACGGACCUGACGGCAAGGGACGAAAGCUAGGGGCACGAACCGGAUUAGAUACCCGGGUAGUCCUAGCCGUAAACGAUACUCGCUAGGUGUCGGCCACGGUGCGACCGUUGUCGGUGCCGUAGGGAAGCCGUGAAGCGAGCCACCUGGGAAGUACGGCCGCAAGGCUGAAACUUAA
rnacentral:rRNA from 1 species